UCCCACACAAGACUCUGCGUGUUUCUACCCC
rnacentral:piRNA from 1 species